rnacentral:rRNA from 1 species
GUAGGGAAUAUUGGUCAAUGGACGAAAGUCUGAACCAGCCAUUCCGCGUGCAGGAAGAAGAUUCUAUGGAUUGUAAACUGCUUUUAGCAGAGAAGAAACGCCUUCAUUGAUGAGGGUUUGACGGUAUCUGCGGAAUAAGCACCGGCUAACUCCGUGCCAGCAGCCGCGGUAAUACGGGUGGUGCAAGCGUUAUCCGGAAUCACUGGGUUUAAAGGGUGCGUAGGCGGGAAAUUAAGUCAGUGGUGAAAGUCUGUUGCUUAACGAUAGAAUUGCCGUUGAUACUGAUUUUCUUGAAUUGGGUUGAGGUUAGCGGAAUGUGACAUGUAGCGGUGAAAUGCAUAGAUAUGUCAUGGAACACCAAUUGCGAAGGCAGCUAGCUGGGCCUUGAUUGACGCUGAGGCACGAAAGCGUGGGUAGCGAACAGGAUUAGAUACCCCGGUAGUCC